rnacentral:rRNA from 1 species
UACGGAGGGAGCUAGCGUUGUUCGGAAUUACUGGGCGUAAAGCGCACGUAGGCGGCUCUGUAAGUUAGAGGUGAAAGCCCGGGGCUCAACUCCGGAAUUGCCUUUAAGACUGCAUCGCUUGAAUCCGGGAGAGGUGAGUGGAAUUCCGAGUGUAGAGGUGAAAUUCGUAGAUAUUCGGAAGAACACCAGUGGCGAAGGCGGCUCACUGGACCGGUAUUGACGCUGAGGCGCGAAAGCUAGGGGAGCAAACGGG